UACAGAGGUCUCAAGCGUUGUUCGGAUUCAUUGGGCGUAAAGGGUGCGUAGGUGGCGCCGUAAGUCGGGUGUGAAAUUUCGGAGCUUAACUCCGAAACUGCAUUCGAUACUGCCGUGCUUGAGGACUGGAGAGGAGACUGGAAUUUACGGUGUAGCGGUGAAAUGCGUAGAUAUCGUAAGGAAGACCAGUGGCGAAGGCGGGUCUCUGGACAGUUCCUGACGCUGAGGCACGAAGGCCAGGGGAGCAAACGGGG
rnacentral:rRNA from 1 species